UACGUAGGGGGCUAGCGUUGUCCGGAAUCAUUGGGCGUAAAGAGCGUGUAGGCGGCUCGGUAAGUCCGCUCUGAAAGCCCGGGGCUCAACCCCGGGAGGCGGGCGGAUACUGUCGAGCUAGAGUCCGGAAGAGGCGAGUGGAAUUCCUGGUGUAGCGGUGAAAUGCGCAGAUAUCAGGAGGAACACCGAUAGCGAAGGCAGCUCGCUGGGACGGUACUGACGCUGAGACGCGAAAGCGUGGGGAGCAAACAGG
rnacentral:rRNA from 1 species